rnacentral:rRNA from 1 species
UACGUAGGGUGCGAGCGUUGUCCGGAAUUAUUGGGCGUAAAGAGCUUGUAGGCGGUUUGUCGCGUCUGCUGUGAAAAUCCGGGGCUCAACCCCGGACUUGCAGUGGGUACGGGCAGGCUAGAGUGUGGUAGGGGAGACUGGAAUUCCUGGUGUAGCGGUGAAAUGCGCAGAUAUCAGGAGGAACACCAGCGGCGAAGGCGGUGCUCUGGGCCGGAACUGACGCUGAGGAGCGAAAGCGUGGGUAGCGAACAGG